CGAGGCACCGAAUAUAAAGUGAAAGCAAUUGAAAAACAAAGAAGCAACGAGAGAACAAAAAAAACCACAAGAAAGCAACACUCACAAGGUGUUUAAGUAAAUGCUUUCAAAAUAUUCUAUUACCCAAUAAUGAAGUGCAAUGGAAUGAUUACAAAUAAAGGGGAAGACCUCUAUUUAUAGUCAAGCUCCCCCAGAUCCAACGGCACAAUUUACUUUACAUCGAUAGUCAAAAUUAAAGCCUAUCUACACUUGAGAUUCUUAAGGGAUUUACACAAUUCCCUAAGAUUACAAAAUCAAAUCUUAUCAGAUUACAAAUAUUCUAAAUUUAGUUUCCAUAUUUACCAUGGCAACCUUAAUUCCCCUCAAGUCCUUAAUUGGACCACAAAUGCUUCAAGUAGAUGGAUUUCUUCACAUGUUCCACAAAUCAGGUCAGUUCAAGUGGGUCUAAGAAGCCCCAUUUUAUCAAUUGGCCUCAAUGGGACAUUUUGUAUGCAUUCCUCACGAGUUUUGAUCUGUUGCCCAUAACAUAUGUGUGUGAAAAUCACGUAUUUAGAACAUAAGUGUGUAUUUCAAAAUAGCAUAUAAUAAAUAAUGAAAUGUAUGGUAUAAAAAUAUAAUAACAUAGAUAAUGUGUAUGAAAUUAAAAUAAAAGAAUAAGUUUAAAUUGUGACUAAAAUGAAAUUUAAUAGGUAAAUAAAUCAUAGAAUAAUAAAUGAGCUUUAAUUUAUUUAUUGUCAUUUUUCUUGAGUUGGUAUCGAGAUGAUUUGUGCCACAAACUCAAUCAACAAAAUUAUCUAUAUAUACAAACAAUGUGGGGUAAACAAUUUGCAUAAUACCAUUGAAAUAAUAAUAAUAAUAAUAAUAAUAAUAAUAAUAAUAAUAAUAAGCUUUGGUUAACAUUGUAAAGAAAAAAUUCUAAAUAUGUUGGUGACAUUGAUUCAAAUCUAACUACAUGUAAAAGUUUUAUUGAUUUUAUUAAAAAUAUAAACAGAAAAAAUUGCCUUCGCAAAAAUAUAAUUUAUUUAUACAUGAUAUGUAUUUUUAUAGUUCUCUUAACUGAGUUAGGACUUGAUAAUAAUAGUAUAAAUAUUGAAAGAUAUUAAGUGUUUUGCAUGUUUUUCAUGUAUUUAAGGUAUUGUAUAUUUAUACGAUUUUUACAUGCAAUUUAUUGAUUUUAUCAUUUUAUGUAAUAUUUAUGCAUUUCUAUAUUUUUUUGUUGUGUUCAUCUUAUAUUUCGUCGAGAUUUUCCUUUCUAAAUUUUAUGUCAUACCUUAAGUAAAAUCAUAUUUCAUAUAUAUUUUUUAUGUGUGUUAAUGAGUAUUAUACCAUAUUUAAUAUAGUUUUUUAUGUAUGUUAAUGAGUAUUAUAAAUUUAUAUAUAAUUUUCAUAUGAUAAAAAUUUGUUAUAUAUUCAUAUUUUGAUACCAUGAUUAUAUUUAUAUAAAAAUGUAUAUUUUAGAGUUGUAAAAAAAGUCUAGUAGGUUAGCACAGUUUCAUCUGUUGGUUAUCACGUUAUUCGGUGUUUGUCUAGGGUUUAAUGAUUUUGUGGGGAUAUUCGGAUCUAAUGAUUGUUUUGCUUAGGGGUAAAAUGGAGGAGGAUCUGGCCAACUUGAAUAUUUCUGCGAAAGAAAGCUCCACCCCAAGGGCAAGGGCAUAUAGAUGUGAUUGAAGAGGAUUAUAGACUUUUUUUGGUGGGAAGGGUUUUAAUGGAUAGUGUGGUGCACUUCCCUUAAAUGAGGAGUACGUUUGCAGAUCUAUGGCACCCACAGGGAGGAGUUUCUAUUUCAGAUAUUGGGGAAAAGAGGUACUUGUUCCGAUUUUAUUAUGAGAUAGAUCUGAAGAGGGUGGGUGAAGGUAUGUCGUGGACGUUUAAUAGACAUUUGAUUAUUUUCACAAACUGGAGCAGGGGGAGUACCAUUUACAAGUGCCUCUAAAUUAUUCAAUUUUUUAAGUUUAGAUCCACAAUCUACCAAUGGGACUUAUGUUAAAGGGUAUGGCAUGCUAGUUUGGGAAUUUCAUUGGUACUUUUAUGGAGUAUGACACUACUUUGAUCUUAAGGGGGAUCGGUAAGUUUACAAGAAUACGUAUGACACUACUUUGAUCUUAAGGGGGAUUGGUAGGUUUACGAGAAUACGAGUAAAAGUAGAUGUUCAGAUUCCAUUGAAGUGGAAGAAGUGAAUUGUUUUUGAUCAAAAUUGUUCAGUUUAUGCUUAUUUUCAGUGUAAGAAAUUGAUGUUGCUUUGCUUUUUGUAUGGCACGCUUGGUCUUUGGGAGGGCUUCUGUUCAAUGUGGGUAACAUUUGGGACGUAGGUGGUGGAGUUUGGGUGGGAUAUUUUGUUAAAGGUGUAUCAAGGAGGGGGCCAGUAAUUGUGGGUAAAUCGUUACGAGAGGAGGUUUCAGGGAGGAAUUUUAGGUGGAAGGGGGAUGUUAGGGAGGGAGUGUUUGGAGGGACGAAUUUGGAUAUGAGUAUGGAACAGGGUUCGGACAUAGAGGAUAACCCUUUGAAGGUGGCUGACAGAAAGAAUAGACAACGUAUUCAUGCAAGGAUUCUAAAUGGUCAUGUUAAUGUGAGCUAGACAGAGUUGAGUGUUUCUAAUGAAUUACUGACUCCCGCUUUCAAGCAGAUCGAUCAAGAACAAUAAACAUCCUUAGGUGGAAUGUUUAUGGGUUAGGGCAUCCACGGGCAAUUAAAUGUAUCCAGAAAAAACUGAGACAGAUAAAGCCCCAGAUAUUGUUUCUAAUUGAAACAAAGCUAAGUGCUAGGAAAAUGAAGUGGAUUAAAGAAAAGUGUGAAUUUUUUUAUGGUAUAGAGGUUGAUACGGAGGGUUCUAAAGGUGGAUUUUCUUUGGGUUGGAAUAAUGGGUGUAUUGUUUAGCUAAGGAGCUACUUGGUUUUGUAUAUUGAAGUUGAGAUUGAUGAAGGAGAUGAGGUAGAUAAAUGGAAGUUUAUGGUUUUAUGGGGCUUUGGAUGAGAGAAGAAGAGACGAAUCAAGAAACUUUUUAAAAAUGUUGGGUACAGAUACUUCGUUGCUGUGGUUGGUGUUGGGAGAUUUUAAUAAGAACAUGUAUUCUUUCUAGAAGCAAGGGGGACGGCUUAGAGAGGAAUAGAGAAUGGAAAGGUUUUGGAUGGAUCUUAAGGAGUGUUAUCUAAGUGACUUGGGGUUCUCAGGUCAAUGGUUUACUUGGGAAAGAGGUUGCAUACAAGAAAAUAAUGUACGGGAAUAGUUUGUUCGGGGGGUGGCAAACUCAACUUGGUGGGGACUUUUUUGAGACAAAAUGUUAAGCUCUCACUCAUGUUUUUUUUCAAUCACUGUUCUAUGUUGUUUUUUACUAUAAGUAAUGAUAGGAGCCAGAUGGUAAAGGAACGAAAUUAGUUCCAACUAAGUGUUGUUGGGUACUUGAGGAUACAUGUGAAGAACAUAUUAGGAACUUUUAGGAGUCAUUUUGAUUGGGUGUUUCGACAAAGUUGUUGAAAUUAUGAAUGAAAUUAAGUAGGUGGGCGAAGGAGAAUCAUUAAUAAAGGAAGCUAAAUGUUACGGAGUUGAAUUGCCAGUUGGAAAAGUUAAAUUCUGUUGACCCUGAUGAGAGUUGUUCAAUAGAGUUAAUUGAAGUCAAGUUUGCACUGAAUAUGGAAGCAUUGGUGCUAAUGGAAACUAUUAUGUAGUUCGAAAUGUGAGGUGGAUUAAGUUUUCAGGAUUUUGGCAAAUUUAAUAUUGCAUUAUUAGCAAAACAGGCACAAAGACUAUUGAUGAAGUCGAAUGGCUUCUUUGCUCAUGUUAAGAGUGCUAAAUAUGAUCAAACAGGUUAUUUUAUGAGUUCAAGGUUAGGGUUUUACCCUUUAUAUACUUGGCGAAGCAUUUAGAACGCUAGAAGGUUGUUACAGGAUGGUGGGCAGUGGGGCAAUGUUAAAUAUUUGGAAUGAUUCAUGACUACCAGGACCUGGACAGGGAAGGGUGAUAGCCAGGACAUUAAUAUUAAUUAUACAUUGGUGGUAGAUUUGAUUGAUGCAAAUUCGAAUACCUGAAAAUUAGAUGUGCUUAAUAAGCUAUUUGAUAGUGAGUAAGUGAACAAAAUUAUUUCAAUUCCACUCUCUCAGAUUGCUCAACCGGAUUAGCUUGUGUAGUAAGGGGAUAAUACUAGGGUCUAUUCGGCCAAAAGUGGCUACAAAUGGCUCAUGGCACAAAGCGAUGAUACAACAACAAAUGAUGCAAGAAAUCAAAAUAGAGUGCUAAAGGUUUUUUUUCAAAAAACUAUAGAACCUAGAUGUUGCUAGUACAAUCAAAAUUACAUGUUGGAAGAUUGCUAAUAAUUAUUUUCCUACUUUUGGUAAUAUUCAAGCGAAGAUAAUUGUUAUGGUGAGUUGUUGUCUUGUCUAUCAGAAGGCUAAAGAGUAGGUCUAGCACAUUUUCAGGGAGUGCCUAGUAACAAAUCAAAUCCUAUAAGAGCUAGAGGUGUCAUUUUCAUCCUCCAACAGAACAAACAAUUGGAAGUUGUGGUUUACUCAGGAAUUUUUGAAUAACAAUUUAAGCACAUGCAAAAUAUGAGGGAUUAUUUUUUGGGCAGUAUGACAUAAUUGCAACAAUAUUUACCAUGAAAGGGCUUAUCAGAAUGCAUUUGGGGUGAUAGCUUUUGUGAAAGCUUAUGUUCAGGAACUCGAGAAUUUGAAUAGGGUAAUGUCAACCAUUCAAAAAUAAAAAAUUUUCAGAUGGGAGCCACCAGCAGGAGACAUGAUGAAAGUUAAUUUUGAUGCAACAUUUCAUUGAUUCUCAAAGCAAGCAACAGUAGGGGACUUAGUUUGGAAUAGUGAGGAAUUAAUAAUGGUUGUGUGUACAUACUCGUAUGAAAAUGUGGCCGAUCCAGCAGUGGCAGAAAUCAAGGUGUGUUUGCAAGCUGUAACGUUAAUGGAGGAGCUUGGGUUUCUAGAAAUCAUCGAAGGGGAUGCGCUGACAAUCAUUAAAAAAAAACUAAGGUAUGCUGAGGAAGAUAGAUCGACAAUAAGUGUUUAUUAAGGAGAUUAAAAAACGGGUUAAGAGAUUUAGAUCGGUGGAAUUUAGAUACAUACCUCGCCAAGGGAAUGAAGCAAUCCACUUGUUAGUUGAAGAUGGAAAAAGGUAUGCAACUACCAUGAUUUGGAUAGAGGAAGCACUAAGGGUAGGUGAGUUGGGUUUUUUUUGCUACCAGAGGAUUUGUUCGAUUUUUUACUCCAAUUACGGAAAAUUGAAAAGAGCGGAUUGUGUUUAAAAGACAAAUGCCAUUUUCGAUGGAGUGGGAAGGUCAAAAGCUCAAUUCGAUGAUUAAUGAUAGGUGGGGAUAGAAGAAUUUGCAAGGCCGUUUCAUUUCUACAUAUUAAGAAGGCGGUUUCUUUACUGUUUUCAUUUUUUUUAGUUAUUUAUUUUCUCAGGAUUUCUGCUUUGUUUUUCCAAUAAAAGUACCUUUAAGGCACCG
rnacentral:lncRNA from 1 species